CCAUUGCUAUCACUUCUCUCUCUCUCUCUCUCUCUCUCUCUCUCUCUUCUGUGUGAGUGUAUGUGUGUGUGUGUGUGUGUGUGUGUGUGAGAGAGAGAGAGAGAGAGAGAGAGAGAGAGAGAGAGACGAAUCUU
rnacentral:miRNA from 1 species